CCUAGCCACCAAAAAGAUAAUCCUCUCUUCACUCUCUCAAAUAAAUUUCUCUACCUCUUUCUCUUCCUCUUCCAAUUAUUGGAUACCACUUAUUUGAUUAAUGGAAUUCUUAAGAGAAUAACAAGGUUAUUCUUGUAGUCAUGUUCGAUAUUAAUUAAGGAGACGUUCGUUUGAAAAGCUAGAGGAAAUUUCAAGAGGUCCGAGAUUCUACAGAGGAUCUCUUAGUUUUGAUUAACCAAGAAGAAAAAGCUUCAAAGAAAUACUCUUGAUGGAUAUGGCAAGAAUAGAAAAGAAGAAAAAGGUGAUGAAGAAGAAGAAAAGAGAAUGCGAAAUCACUCAAAAAAGUAUUCUCUCUGCCUCUCUUUACAAGUCACUUUCUCUUUAUAUAAGAUAAGCCUUUUAACAGAUUUUGUUACGGAUGAGAUUUCAUAACAGGAAGUUUUAAUAAGCUUUUCUCUCCACCAGCUAUAAGUGCAAAUGGGAAAAGCGUAAAGUAAAAUAUGCAACGAAAACUGGUAAAAACUAAAGGGACGUUUGGGACAAGGAAUUGGUUAUUAUAGUUCUAGGUUAUUAUAGUUUGGUUAUAAUAGUUUGUGUUUGAGAUGUAGAUUAUUUUAGUUUUGGUUAUAAUUGUAUGUAUUUGAGAUGUAAACUAUUUUAGUUUGAGAAGGAAAUAGUAAACACUGUAGCCAAGAAUAAAAAAAUGAUAGAUGUAAAAUAGUAAAUAUUGUUCCAAUUGGGGUUUUAAAAUAGUGUUGACUAUAGUUAAUUGGUUGUUUUGAAAUAGUAUUUACUAUAACAAGAGGUGGUUAUUAUAGUACUAGGAUAGUCCUUACCCCAAAUGCCUCAUAAAGAUUUUGCUUAUUAAUCAGGUUUUUCUUUGAUGUUUUUUCUAUGUCGUUGGCAAUCUUGCUUUGUAGGCUUAUGAUCAACAUCUUAAAGUGAUGGUUGGGACGUUGAACAAACUAUCAUUACAGUAGAAAUUGAUGACAUGACUUAUGAAGAGAUAGUUUGGAUAUGUUCAUUUUCUGGCCUUUGUCAAGGUUUUCUUAAACAAUAACUAUAUGACCCUCCAAGUAGGCAACUAGUUCUCGAUCUUCAGACUUCAAAGCUCUAUGUACAUAUUAAGUAAUGUAGUUUUGUUGAUAGGUUACUUAUUAAAUAAUGUCACUUUCUUUGUUGUGUUACUAGAGUGAAUUAGUUAAUUUUGGUGUUUGUUGAAAGUUGAGUUGUUUAUACAAAGGGAAUAGUUGAGCUUUUAUUUUG